rnacentral:rRNA from 1 species
UACGGGGGGGGCAAGCGUUGUUCGGAAUUACUGGGCGUAAAGGGCGCGUAGGCGGUUCGCUAAGUUGGAUGUGAAAACUCUGGGCUCAACCCAGAGCCUGCAUCCAAAACUGGCGGGCUAGAGUUCUGGAGGGGGUAGCGGAAUUCCUGGUGUAGCGGUGAAAUGCGUAGAUAUCGGGAGGAAUACCAGUGGCGAAGGCGGCCUUCUGGACGGAUACUGACGCUGAGGCGCGAAAGCCAGGGGAGCAAAGCGGG